ACCUUCCAUUUUGCUUCUUUGUUGCUUAAUCUCUUGCGGCUGUUUCAUAAGUUAACAUGUUUAGCAAAUGCUCCUAAUAUACACACAACGAUAUUUUGUAGUAAUAUAUAUGCAAUAUGGGUGCACACACUGCAGAGGAUGUUUCGCUCAGCCAUGGUGCCUUGUAGCAAAUGCCCUUGUGACCAUCUGUCUUCUGCAUAUUUAUGGCAGUUUUGUGGAAAGCCAGGAGAGUCAGCAUUAGGGUGUCUUUUUGCAAGACAAAAUGAAACAAACCCAGGAGGAUGUGUUUUGUUGAACCUACUGAAGUUGCAAAGAACCUGUGGCCGUCCAUGCAGUCACCAAUUGACUUAAAUGGGCAUGUUGAGACUGUUGCUCCCCUAUUGAAUUGUACUGGGUCAUGAUCAUGGUGUUCAUGGAGUUGGGUUUUUCAUCAUCUGCCAAAUUCUCACUGGGUCCAAGAAAUAUCUGCUCUUAAUGGGUUUUUUUGUUCCAUGACCUAGCAGUGGGCUGCUCCUAUUUGUAGCCCAAAAGUAGGUCAUUGACCCAAAGCUGAAAAUGAUCUUGUGUUGUUUUAACACAUUGGUUAUGCCUUAAGGUAGACACUUUCCUGGUGGUCUAGAACACUUUUUGCUGCUUCAAUCUAAGGCAUCUGGUUCUAUUGUGACAAUCAUAAGGAUUGGCUCCUUUGUGAAACAUGGAGCGACAGUACACUUUGACUGUCAGUCUUUUCCAGGCAAAGUGUGAAUCUGACUCCACAUGAAACCUAAUCAAGGAAGGGGAGAGAAUGGAGAAGAACCUGCCACAGCUGUGCUAGCCCAGGGCCAGCUAGGGGCAACCUAGAGAAGGCUGGAACAUGGGCAAGUCAUAACAUAGCAAGUCAUAACAUUGGUCCAUCUAGCUCAGCAUGGUCUAUCCUAACUAGUGGCCCCUUUCUAAGGUUUCAGGUGAGGCGAACAUUCUCAGCUCCUCUUGGAGAUGCUAGGAAUUGAACCUGGAAUGUUCUGCGCACAAAGCAGACUUGGUUGAGCACAGCACCAGUGGAUAGUGCAUGAGUUGGACUGCUGUGGUGGCCAUCUUGCCUCUCACUGAUUUCCUAUUCCUCUCUCUCAGUCUUGAUGGAAACCACAUUGAGUCCUAUCAGGGGAAAAGGCGGGCUAUAAAUAAAUGUAUAAUAAUAAUAAUAAUAAUAAUAGUAAUAAUAAUAGGUUCUCCUUGCCCAAUCAACCUUGUCUUACCGACAUUCUUCCUCUAGUGGGGUGCACCCAUUAUUUAUAUAAAUUACUAUUCAAUAAUAUAGUUACACACUACUUUCCCCAAGCUGGUGUAACUGAGACAGCUUUUGUGGUAGGUUUUCCAGUGUUACAUUCAAACCCACAAAACACCACACCAGGUUCUGUCUUCUAAGACUGCCUGAGGCAGCCCUUGACUUGCGGACCUCUAGGUGGUAUUGAGGCUCCGAUUCCCACCAACCCUAGCAAGCUUUGCCCAUUGUUAGGUACGAUGGGAGCUGUAGUUCAACAGCUAGAGGUCACCAACUUGGGGAAGGCUAGGCCGAAGGUGGAGGAUUUGGUAGUGUGCAUGGAAAGUUGUCAAUGUCCUUUCAGAUGGUAAAGGCAGCCAUGUGGCUGUCCUUGAGAUGGACCCAGGAUAUAAUAAGUUGAUGUCAGGUGCCGUAAUAAAAAGGGUUAUGAAUAGAGGCCCUGUUAGGGUCUUACUUCCAAGACGUGUGAGGAAAGGGGGAAGUACAAUGCUUCUCUUUUGAAGCUAAAAGUACAGCCAAAAUGGCACCCCCAUGUCAACUGGUUUUCUCUCCCUGCCAAAAAAAUCGCUAGGAUCUCUUUCGCUUGCAUGUCACAAUUUGGAGUGGAGAUUGUAGGGGUGGGGAGUCUUAAAAUGAUGUCGAAAGGCUGUAGCUGUGUGGUAGAGUGUCUGCUUUGUAUGCAUAAGCUCCCAGGUUCUGGCAUCUCAGGGUAGGUUUGGGAAAGAUCUCUGCCUGAAAUGCUCUAGAGCUGUUGCCAGUCCGUGUAGACACCACUGUACUAGAUGGGCUAAAGGUUUGAGUCUGCGUAAGAGAGCUUCUUGUUUACCUAAGCCAAUGCAAGAGGGGAGGUGGAGAACUCUGCAGAAGAUGUGUUCAGCAGCACUUUUCUUAAAUUUCAGGGUUCAUCAUUUCAGCCUCUAUUUAUUGCUUUGGAGAAAGACACGGAGAGGUGAUCUCCCUGAAUAUGAAACAAACAAACAAAACCAGUCUUUGGGUAUGAAUGAUUAAGUUUUAAAAUUGCCAUCUGAAUUGGAUCAGCAUCCUCCAUUUCUGUUUUGGGUGCAUCGAUUUUUAGUAAAAAAAAAAAAAAGUAUUGUUUAGCUCAUUAAUGGUCUCUGAUUCCAUUUUUUUCAUCUAGGAAGCAUGAACGGGGACUUGUUGUGCAAACUGAGUUCCUUUUGGGAAGGGUUGUGAGGAGCAAAUUCUGACAUAUGAAGGAUUUGUAGUAUGUAUUAUUAUAUUUUCCAGGGGGCGGGUUUGGGGUGGUUAAUGUCUUAUGGGAGCCUAAAUUAUUUUUCUCUACCUCAUAUGUACAGCUUUGUUUAGGUAUAAAUCUGAUUCUUGAGUGACUGUGGAGAAUGUAUUUAAAUUAUUUAACAUCUUUGUAUAACAAAUGAGAACAAAUGAAACAAUAAAUGUAUUUUAAAUU
rnacentral:lncRNA from 1 species